rnacentral:rRNA from 1 species
GAUGAACGCUGGCGGCGUGCCUAACACAUGCAAGUCGAGCGAAGCGCUUAAAUUAGAUUUCUUCGGAAUGACGAUUUUUGUGACUGAGCGGCGGACGGGUGAGUAACGCGUGGGUAACCUGCCUCAUACAGGGGGAUAACAGUUAGAAAUGACUGCUAAUACCGCAUAAGACCCCAGCUUCGCAUGAAGCGGUGGUAAAAACUCCGGUGGUAUGAGAUGGACCCGCGUCUGAUUAGCUAGUUGGUAAGGUAACGACUUACCAAGGCGACGAUCAGUAGCCGACCUGAGAGGGUGACCGGCCACAUUGGGACUGAGACACGGCCCAGACUCCUACGGGAGGCAGCAGUGGGGAAUAUUGCACAAUGGGGGAAACCCUGAUGCAGCGACGCCGCGUGAAGGAUGAAGUAUUUCGGUAUGUAAACUUCUAUCAGCAGGGAAGAAAGUGACGGUACCUGACUAAGAAGCCCCGGCUAACUACGUG